rnacentral:rRNA from 1 species
AGGGAGAUGGAAGUAGAAAUCGUUAGUAACCGUCAUAAGGAUUGGUCGGUGAAUCAGCUGG